rnacentral:rRNA from 1 species
CCUACGGGGGGCUGCAGUGGGGAAUAUUGGACAAUGGGCGAAAGCCUGAUCCAGCCAUGCCGCGUGUGUGAAGAAGGCCUUCGGGUUGUAAAGCACUUUCAGUGGGGAAGAAAGCCUUGGGGCUAAUACCCUCGAGGAAGGACAUCACCCACAGAAGAAGCACCGGCUAACUCCGUGCCAGCAGCCGCGGUAAUACGGAGGGUGCGAGCGUUAAUCGGAAUUACUGGGCGUAAAGCGCGCGUAGGCGGUCUGAUAAGCCGGUUGUGAAAGCCCCGGGCUCAACCUGGGAACGGCAUCCGGAACUGUCAGGCUAGAGUGCAGGAGAGGAAGGUAGAAUUCCCGGUGUAGCGGUGAAAUGCGUAGAGAUCGGGAGGAAUACCAGUGGCGAAGGCGGCCUUCUGGACUACACUGACGCUGAGGUGCGAAAGCGUGGGUAGCAAACAGGAUUAGAUACCCCUGUAGUC